rnacentral:rRNA from 1 species
AUAGAGUUUGAUCCUGGCUCAGGACUAACGCUGGCGGCAUGCAUCAUACAUGCAAGUCGAACGGAUUGCGGGUAGCAAUAUCUGCAGUUAGUGGCGAACGGGUGAGUAACACGUAGGUAACCUGCCCUCGUGACUGGGAUAACCUGCCGAAAGGCGGGCUAAUACCGGAUAUGACCACAGUCCCGCAUGGGACAGGGGUAAAAGGCUGGCCCGCAAGGGCUACCACACAAGGAUGGGCCUGCGCACUAUCAGGUAGUUGGUGGGGUAACGGCCUACCAAGCCUAUGACGGUUAGCCGGCUUGAGAGAGUGAACGGCCACACUGGAACUGAGACACGGUCCAGACUCCUACGGGAGGCAGCAGUAGGGAAUCUUCCGCAAUGGGCGAAAGCCUGACGGAGCAAUGCCGCGUGAGUGAUGAAGGCCUUCGGGUCGUAAAGCUCUGUUGAGGGGGAAGAAUGCUGUAUCCGAUAAUACCGGAUACGGUUUGACGGUACUCCUCGAGGAAGCCCCGGCUAAUUACGUGCCAGCAGCCGCGGUAAUACGUAAGGGGCAAGCGUUGUCCGGAAUCACUGGGCGUAAAGCGCACGUAGGCGGCUUGGCAAGUCAGGGGUGCAAGCUCUAGGCUUAACCUAGAAAUUGCCUCUGAAACUACCUCGCUUGAGGGUCAGAGGGGAAACUGGAAUUCACGGUGUAGCGGUGAAAUGCGUAGAUAUCGUGGAGAACACCCGUGGCGAAGGCGGGUUUCUGGCUGACAACUGACGCUGAG